UACGUAGGGUGCAAGCGUUGUCCGGAAUUAUUGGGCGUAAAGAGCUCGUAGGCGGUUUGUCGCGUCUGCUGUGAAACCCGAGGCUCAACCUCGGCCUGCAGUGGGUACGGGCAGACUAGAGUGCGGUAGGGGAGUUGAAUUCCUGGUGUAGCGGUGGAAUGCGCAGAUAAUCAGGAGGAACACCAAUGGCGAAGGCAGAUCUCUGGCCGUAACUGACGCUGGAGGAGCGAAAGCAUGGGGAGC
rnacentral:rRNA from 1 species